GAUGAACGCUAGCGGCAGGCUUAAUACAUGCAAGUCGUGGGGCAGCGCAGGGAGCAAUACUGGGCGGCGACCGGCAAACGGGUGCGGAACACGUACACAACCUUCCGAGAAGUGGGGAAUAGCCCCGAGAAAUGUGGAUUAAUACCCCGUAACAUAAAGAUGUGGCAUCACAUUGUUAUUAUAGCUGCGGUGCAUCUUGAUGGGUGUGCGGCUGAUUAGAUGGUUGGCGGGGUAACGGCCCACCAAGUCUAAGAUCAGUAGCUGAUGUGAGAGCAUGAUCAGCCACACGGGCACUGAGACACGGGCCCGACUACGACGGGAGGCAGCAGUAAGGAAUAUUGGUCAAUGGACGCAAGUCUGAACCAGCCAUGCCGCGUGAAGGAUUAAGGCCCUCUGGAUUGUAAACUUCUUUUAUCUGGGACGAAAAAAGGCGAUUCUUCGUCACUUGACGGUACCAGAUGAAUAAGCACCGGCUAACUCCGUGCCAGCAGCCGCCGUAAAAC
rnacentral:rRNA from 1 species